UUCUUUCUUCCUCUCUUUCUUCUUCGCUGAUUCUUUCUUCCUCUCUUUCUUCUUCGCUGAUUCUUUCUUCCUCUCUUUCUUUCUUUCCUUCUUCUUAGCUGAUGCUGCCUGCCUGCCUUCCUGCCGCCGUGCGACGCCGCCUGCUGUCGCCCGCUGUCGCUGUCGUCGUGGGUUCGUCCUCCUUCCAUUAAAAUGCUGUUAUUUGAGUGUCAAUUAAAGGUGCCUAUUUAUUGGUGUGUUCCUGUUUUCAUAAUGGUAGUACUUUUCCAGUUUUAACAAGUUAAUGACUUGAUUUGUUCUGGCUGCCUUGUCAAAUAUAGGACUUAAGUAUACCUUUGUCCAUGAUAAGUGCUUAAAUAAUACUGUCGACUUUAUUCUUGUGCUGUUUCCAUUUAUGUCAUAAGUUUUAAGCAACAGCUUUCUUUGUUAAAAUUCAUUUUGGAGGUUGUAUAAAUUACUUGAUAUUUUUCUGACUAUAUAUAUUGUUCAUUUGAAUUGUGGUUAAUAACAAAGCUGACUCAUUUUGUGCUGACAUCUGAAAAGCAGACUACGUAAAGUGGAAUGCGAAUGCAAUAAUAAAAGAUCUUGGUAUCUCUGAACUUGAGAGAUGAUUACUUAAGUAGUUAGAAACUAGGGUGUUGCAGCAUGUAAUGAUAACGUUACACUAGCAAAAGGUGGUAAGCAAACAGGCAGGGACCUAAUGACAUUAUGACAGUGCUGUUAAUCAUUUCCAGAGACAUUAAACUUAGAAUGUUAAAACUGAAAUAACAUUUAGAUCUUCUUAAAGGUCAGCACUUAAGAUGACAUAAAGGCACUAUGGCAGCAUGGACUCAUGCCCAUGGGUGAGUGGUGAUAUAGCAUCUCCUGGGGAGGAAACACAGAGUUAAAUCAGGUGGUAAUUGGGAAGGCUCAUAAAGGAGAUGCAGACUCUAAAUAGUCUCCAGACCUUUCUCAAGUAGGAAGAGUAAAAUGUGUAACAUUUUCCCUCUACGCAAGUAGAGGCCCCUUUUGCCGUCUUCCCCACUGAAUGUAAGCUCGCUCCAUGUGGUCACUAAUGGAUGACUGAAUUAUGGCCGACAAUGUUAUAUGGCUCUAACGGUAACAUCCACUCACACAGUUUAAUAUCUAUUUUUUGUUUUGCUUAAGAAACUGAACGUGCAUUUAAAAGCAAUUUACAUUAAUACAGUAUUGCCUUCAGGCAAACAUCAUUCCUUCUUCUUGUGCUUUUGAACAGCCCAGCUAUUGUUUGAAGUGAGUCAUCGAAACAACUGGACUCUGGUCUUGCAGGUGUAUGAUUGUUACAAAAUGGUUUUACCCUUCCCUCUCAGCCACAUUGACGGAGUGAGUGAGAGGAGCAGCAGCAGCGCGAGGGCUGGAGCAGCAGCGCAGGGUCCGUCAGCAUCAUUCUGGUCAUGGCAGAGCCUGGUCCUGCCCCUCACAGGAUGAUCUCCCUGCACUACACUGGAAGGAGGGGGCCAGGCGUUUCCCUGCCCCAGCCAGAGGCUUCACUGUUACGCUAAUGGUGUGUUCAAAAUGGCAUCAAUUAGUCUUGAUACAGACUUUGUCAGGAUGUCUCUGGCUUUGGCCGGCUGUGCCAUCUUUCGAGCAGAGCUGUUUCUCCAGAAUCCUUCUGUAGCUCAGUUCCUGUCCUGUCCCUCAGUCUGAGGGAAUUCCUCUAUUCUCUUCUGUGCUGUUUUGUUUGAUGACGCUGAACUACAGUUGGAGAUUGUUGUUUUGCAGAUGCCUCAUUGUACACGUCUCGUGCUGCUCAGUAGAUGCCCCAGCCCAGGUUUGCAGCCGGUGGUGGAGCCACCUGAGGGGAAAGGGCCAGCCCUGGGUCUGGUCGUUUAGUGCUGUCUUUUUAUGGUGAAUAAAAAGGAGGGGUAUUUGGGGAGUGAUGAUGUCAUUUGGGGCCACGCGAGCAUCACCAAAGUGGGCGAUGAUGUGGCAGAGGAGCAGGUGAGUUGGGGAUGGGGGUCACACAGGGUUCCCCCCUAAAAGGUGGGUCAUAGCUCUGAAAUAUCUGAAAAGUCAUGGGGGGGGGGAGAUUAAAAAAUAACAAAACCCGUAAAUAUGAGCGUGAAGUGUUGAAAUAGAGAACAAUCUCUCAUCUCAUUUAUAUAGAGAUGGAAAAGUAAUAUUUAUGUAUAUAAAAGGAGUUCAGAACAAAAUCCUAUGUCUCUAUGGAUUCUGAUUCUGUGAUUCUAUAUUAUAAAAAUGAUCUUAUAAAAGUAUUAAGAAAUAUUUA